AUGCCGGACAGGAGAGGCGCGACCCUGCUCGAGGACCUGCCCGAGGAGAUCAUCAACAAGAUACUCGUCCUGUUGGGGUCCAAGGACGUCGGCCGCUGUCGGGUUGUGAACACUUCAUGGCGCAGUGCCACAUCCACACCUGAAUUCAUGCUCGAACACCACCGACGCCAGCUGUCGCUCCCCAUUGUGGAUGGUUGUGGAAAGCCUGCCAAUUAUGUCGUCUUCGGCGACGCCGGUGCUGGUGCCUCCAAUCAACAGCUUUGGCCUUUCCUCUCAAGCUCCAAACGCCGUUACUGGAAUCAGCCCAGAGCCGUCUGUGAUGGCUUCCUUAUAAUUUAUUGGGGACACAAAUUCUACAUCUGCAAUCCAGUUACCCGCAAGCAUGCUCUCCUACCACAGCCUCAAGUUGGGCAAGGCAUCCACAGUACCAUUGUCGGUUUCUACCAGCACCAUCCAACUGGAGAAUACAGGGUUCUCUGGGUCUCACGGUCACAAUCACAAUACUCCUCUGAAUCCAGCUUAUAUGUGCUCACAGUGGGAUCUGACAGGCCAAAGUUCAUCAGUGUCAGAAUGCCAACAGUCUCAUCGUCUUCCACACAACAGAAGUUAUUGAACCAGCUGCCCUCUUCAUCUGACUGUUCAUCACCCGUACACCACCGUGGCAGGCUGCACUGGCUUCCUUAUGAUGACAGCCACAUUACAGUAGGCGGUGGAGAUAUUAUUGUGUUCGACACAGAAACAGAGUCAUUCAGGUGGAUGUGCAGUCCCACCCAGCCCUGCCGUUAUAGGAAGUUGUUUGACAUGGAGGGGACGCUAGCUUGGUGUGGCGGCUCGGUUUCCAAGUCCACUUCUAUGGAUGUCUGGGUGAUGCAGGAUUACAAGGCUGAAAUCUGGGCUUUUAAGUACCGGAUUGACGUGUCAACGGUGGAGGCAUCAAGACAACUUUAUUUAACUUCUUUCAGAAAGAAAAAGAGUAGACCACUCGAAUCUGCGGUGCAAUUGUUUAAUGAUAUGUCUGUGCUAAAUGAGCGUGAGCUGCUGAUCAGGUUUAACCACAAACAUGUGUUGCGCUGUGAUAUUGAUGGCAAGUUCUUAGGUAUUGUGAACAUUGGAAAGCGUCAGUAUCGCAUGUGUCUUACCCACCACUGCCUCAAAGAGAGCGUUGUUCCAAUUCCAGGCCAUGAGAUGCAAACAGAUGAGGAGGCUCCAUUCUUCACAUAG
rnacentral:rRNA from 1 species